rnacentral:rRNA from 1 species
AACGAACGCUGGCGGCAUGCCUAACACAUGCAAGUCGAACGAGACCUUCGGGUCUAGUGGCGCACGGGUGCGUAACGCGUGGGAACCUGCCCUUAGGUUCGGAAUAACUCCCCGAAAGGGGUCCUAAUACCGGAUAAUGUCUUCGGACCAAAGAUUUAUCGCUUCUGGAUGGGCCCGCGUUGGAUUAGCUAGUUGGUAGGGUAAAAGCCUACCAAGGCGACGAUCCAGAGCUGGUCUGAGAGGAUGACCAACCACACUGGGACUGAGACACGGCCCAGACUCCUACGGGAGGGAGCAGUGGGGAGUAUUGGACAAGGGGCGAAAGUCUGAUCCAGCAAUGCCGGGGGAGUGAUGAAGGCCUUAGGGUUGUAAAGCUCUUUUACCCGGGAUGAUAAUGACAGUACCGGGAGAAGAAGCACCGGCUAACUCCGUG